AUGGGCCACGCACAGGAGCCUGCUGUCGCCGCCCGAGACCACGCCGUCGCGCCCCGCCGCCAGCGCGCCGCCACCCGCCGAGGAGCCCGCCCGCGACGAGUCCACCAGCAGAGGGGAGAGAGGGUCCCGCCGCCGCCGACGCCGACCGGGCUUUGCCCGGCGGCGCGCCCCGGCGGCGGCGAGGAGGAGAGGAGGGAGGAGGGGCUCUGGGCCGGCGGCGCUAGGGUUUUCCCCCUCGGCCGCCGCGGGAGCGACGCGAGAGGGGCGAGGUUGUCAGUUAUUUCGCCCCUUCUAGGGUUCUUAUUCAAAAGAUGA
rnacentral:rRNA from 1 species